GGGGAGUUAGCUCAGCGGCAUAAGCACCUGCCUUGUAAGCAGGCAGUCAUGAGUCAAUCCCCG
rfam:Cavia porcellus supercont2_35 genomic scaffold, whole genome shotgun sequence.